CCUCUUUUCUUUGCAAUUGCCCAAAAAUAUAAGUAUUCAUGAAAUUGUGUGAGAAUGUUUCUACACUCUUUGAAGCUGAGGUUUGUAAUUAAAUUAAAGAAGGUUGAUAAUCCAGGGCUGAACUCAAGCUCCCUCAGUUUCGGCUGGAACAGAUAAAAUAGUCAUGAACGGGAAUUGUAAGCUAAUUUGAGAGAGAAUUUCGAGAAGCAGCAGCAGCAAGGAGUGAUAGAUAAAUUAUAAGAAUAAAUAUUCAGCCCAUUAGAUGGUUGAAGCAAGCUAGUAAGUUCUAAUUUUUAUUUUAGUAGCAAAGAUUGAAUGUUUUAUGUAAAAUUGAAAGUAGAAGAUUAAUAAGAAGUUCU
rnacentral:lncRNA from 1 species